CUGUAGCCGUGGGCAGGUGGGGCUGUGGGGGGAGGAGUCAGGAAGCGCUGCGGCCCACGUGCUAAAGGCGCCUCCUGCCAGAGAGGAAAGUAACCUCGGUCUCUUACAGUGUUGAGACUCAAACAGUAUGAAAGGUCAGACUGCAGAUUCUUUUCUUUCAUUGAUGAACAGUCACACAGCUGCUGCUGCUGUUACCUUGUGACUCAUUUUUUGCCGAAGCUCACUCACGAGGCUCUUGUCAUUUUGAUGCCGGACUAUCAGGAGUGCCAGACUAUUGGAUGCCAGACUAUUGGAGUUUUACUGUAUAAUGGAAGAGUGCUAUAUGGCAUGGAGAGGGCCUUAGGGAUGGUGAAUCAUUGUUUGUGGGUGGAUUGAUGAGGCUAAAUAAUACACAUGCAUUUUAAAUAUACUCAAAUAAUGCAUGGUUCUGCUACUGUGCUUCAUAGUGGAUGUGGUAAAAACACCUGAAUAUUUUAAAGCAAGAUUAGAUUUACCACAUGAUCAACAAAAGAUAUAUAGCACAGGCAACUGGAAAGGUCAUUUACAUCACUUCAGUAACCUUGUGUAACCACCUGUGGGUUGCUCCACAGCCCAGACUAACCAGAGCAGAGGAUGCUCUGGCCUAACCACUUUCAUCUCCAGUGAGUCUGGGCACAAACUCACAUUAAGGUGUUCCACAAGUUCUACACAGGCAGAGGAACAUCUUUAUGCAAAGUAUUCCCCUUGCAUGCAGUUCUGUCGUCUUCAUGCUACCAGGGGGACAGAAUCAAGUUUCUAACAUGAGAAUGAGAUUAGAAUUUAAUGGAAAGUAUUAUCCCAUACUUUUUGUUCCUUUACUGAAAAGUAGUCAUAGACACUAAUGCAACGUGAGUUGAGGCAGCAUAUUUUUUGCAUUUUCAUGCAAUGGUUAAAUUAGGAUUCGGAAUUAACUUAACCUUGUUAAAGCUCUCUAAAUAAUGUAUACAUGCAAAAGUAUAUAAAAACUCACUUUGAUAUCAUGAAA